UACGAAGGGAGCUAGCGUUGUUCGGAAUCACUGGGCGUAAAGCGCACGUAGGCGGAUUUGCCAGUCAGGGGUGAAAUCCCGGGGCUCAACCUCGGAACUGCCUUUGAUACAGCAAGUCUUGAGUUCGAGAGAGGUGGGUGGAAUUCCUAGUGUAGAGGUGAAAUUCGUAGAUAUUCGGAAGAACACCAGUGGCGAAGGCGGCUCACUGGACUGGUAUUGACGCUGAGGUGCGAAAGCGUGGGGAGCAAACAGG
rnacentral:rRNA from 1 species